rnacentral:ncRNA from 1 species
CGAUCAACUUCGGGGAGUCAAAGAUUGACUGAGAGGAUUAAAUUCAAAAUCGACCCGUAAACCUGAUCUGGGUUAUGCCAGCGGAGGGAAAGUUAUAUAUUUUUAA